UCCAAAACAGAACCUAAAACCUAGGGAUUUCCUCUCAAACUCCUCCCAUCCAUCUAGCCAAUCAUAACAACAAUUUAGUCAUCCUCAAGAUAGAGAACACCAUGGUAGCUUCGGAAUCGUGAAUUCUUCGGUGUUUCACUUUUCGUAGGAAGACUCCGCCUUAAAGUAAUCUCGAAUUUAAAGUAAUUCUGGUCACAUAAGGUAUGAUUUAACUUCCUCUUUGAUCUUUGUAAACUUCUACCAUAAGAAUUCUUAAGAAAUAGUUGAAACCUCUAUAGAAAUGUUAUUGAUUUUUUUAAAGAAACCUCUCUUAAUAUGACUUAAUUGUUGGAGCUGUUUUAUAUGGUUUUAUUGUGUUGUUUGGAUCUGUGAAGACAUGGAUGGAAUCGUGUCGAUGAGCAGAUGUAGUAAAGUAAAAAUUUGGUGGUGUGUUGGGGGGAAAUUAAGCUACAAAAGAGUCUACAAAUUCAUGCCCGCAAGUUGUUCGCUUAAAUGUCUAAAUGAAGAAUUAUAUAAGAUAUGAGCUUGAAUUUGAUAUUGAAUGGUUCGUAUUAUGUAGGAAAUCAUUCCUAAGGCUUUCGAGGUCUCGGAAACCGUAUAUAACUCCAGCGACAAGGUAUGUAGGGCCUUCGCUAUACUUUUCGGCAUGACUAGAAUUCGAAUAUACGUUUAUCGAAUUGUUUCGUCGGAUUUGAGUUAUUUCACCUUCAACUUAUAAAGAUGCUUAGACCUGAUCCUUUCUCAUAGAUUGCUUACUUCAGAGAAUAUCUAUGAAUUCUCGAUUUUCCUUGUUCCUUGCUUAAAAAGAACUAGAGCCUUUUUACUCGUUCUCCUUUCGACGUUCAUAUAAAUCAUGAAUAAGUAACACUUACUUCAAAGGUACUCAUAAUACAUAACUCUCAUGUUCUUAGUACUUGUUGGCUCGUAGUUGAAAAAUUAAAUAUUUUAGCGACAACCAUGAUAGUCGGGGAAAAUGAUGAUAGGCCACUUCGACUCUUCUUAGAAUACGUCUUUUAAGGUUAGUUUUGCAUUGCACUUAUAUAAUGCAUGAUUUAAUGUAUGUAUGUAUUUACUUUCAUUACCGAGCCGCACUAUAGACGGCCGGGUAUGACACCUAUUGUGUAACCACUGAUCAGUUGGGAUUACCGAGCUUCAUAUGGCCGGGUACGAUUCUACCCAGCCUUUAUUAUGGCAGGGUAUGCUAUGGAUAUUGUAGCCCCACAGAGGGAUUUAUUAUUAUAUAAUGUAAUAUAUUAUAAGUAGCGAUAGUGAGCGACGAUUCCACGAGCAUACAUUUAUAUCCAUGUUGAAUUUUAGUUUCCUAUCGAGGCUAGUUUCAGAAUUCAAAUUGUCUCUAUAUCUCUUCUCUUAAUAAUUACAUUUUUCAUGUUACACUUAUCGCCCUACAUAUUCAGUACAUAUUUCGUACUGACGCCUUUUUAUGCGCUGUGUUCAUGCCCACAGGUUCGGAUAGACAGAGCGGCGUGCCUCCUCUGUAGGACCCCCAGGAUCAGCGUUGGGUUUCGCACUCCACUUCUUCGGAGUUGCUGACUUUGAGUCCAUAGGUACUAUUACAGAUGUAUAUGAGUAGUUUUGGGCAUGUUGGGGGCCUUGUCCCGGCCUGUUGAGAUUGUCUUACACUCUUAGAGCCUUGCAGACUAGCGGUCAUUGCAUGUAUAUUUUUUUUUGUAUGGCCCUAUCGGCCUUCUGGAUAGCUGUCAUACUGUUGUUGUAGCCUUGUUGGCCUAAGUUAUAUAUAUAUAUAUAUGUGUGUGUGUGUGUGUGUGUGUGUGUGUGUGUGUCGUUUUGUGCUCUUCUGCCUGCAUGUUAUUAUAUUUAAGAUCAUAUCUCAUGGUUGGUUCGCUCGGGCCUUCGGGCAUCGGGUGCCAGCCACACCUCCCAAGAUUGAGGUGUGACAAACUUAGUAUCAAAGCAGGUCAGUCCUAGGGAGUCUGCAAGCCGUGUCUAGUAGAGUCUUGUUUAUGGUGUAUUGUGCACCACACUUAUAAACAUGAGGCUAUUGGGCAUUUAGGAUUAUUACUUUCUUCUUGAUCUAGAUCGUGCAAUAGUGCAUAAUCAUAAGUGUUCAUUCCUAAUUCUCUUUUUGUUUACCUUCUCAGUGAUGCCUAAUACUAUGAGAUGACAAGUGGCUAUGAAAUUUAUUUAGAGGUUAGAUGAGGAGGCGGGAGAGGGCACAAGUCAGGUCCCACCUGCUAAUGUAGAUCAACAUGAGCCACAGAAUGAGGCUGAUUCUCAGGCUUCCGGGGCAGCACCCUCACCACCCCCGGAAGGGCGUAGAGGAGCUAACGUACCUCCAGUCCCUCUCCUAGUUGUUCCUGUGAGCACGUGAUUUUUGCCUUAAAGAAAACUACUCCAAAAUAAAUCAAAAAAUAAAAUAAAUUUC
rnacentral:lncRNA from 1 species